rnacentral:misc_RNA from 1 species
GCGGCUGGAUCCCCUCCUUUCUAGGGAGAUGCCGCGCGGCGAGCACUAGGGCCGAAGCAAGCGGAUUUGUAGCUUUGCUGCAAAACAGGCUUGCGGAACGCCGUUUUAGAUAAGUCUCGAUCAUAUCUGCGCGAUAUCCCAGGUCGGUAUCUAUGAAGCUAACAGGUUUUAUCUGGUUAUUGUAUCUGUUAGUGGAGAUAGAGUUGACAGGACUUUUCGUUUUCAGUAUUUAGUUUUCAGGGUUUAUCCCUGAUGCGAAAAUGAGUUUAUAAAACGAAAGCUCAUUGCUUCCGUUUUUAACACUCCUGCUUCGCAAUCGUACCUUGACAAUUGCAUAAUAAGUAAGUACAAACAUAUUAGAAAUAUGGUUUGUGUAGUAAUACCAAUGUUAGGUAAAGCUACUAAGAGCAAAUGGUGGAUGCCUUGGCAUCAGGAGCCGAUGAAGGACGUGCAAAUCUGCGAUAAGCCGCGUGGAGUUGAUAAGACACCUUGAUACGCGGAUUU